GGGCAAUGGGCGCAAGCCUGAACCCAGCAACGCCGCGUGAAGGAAGAAGGCUUUCGGGUUGUAAACUUCUUUUAAGAGGGAAGAGUAGAAGACGGUACCUCUUGAAUAAGCCACGGCUAACUACGUGCC
rnacentral:rRNA from 1 species